UUAAAUGGGAGGGGAAGUGGGGAUGACGUCAAAUCAUCAUGCCCCUUAUGACCUGGGCUACACACGUGCUACAAUGGACGGUACAAAGAGCUGCAAGACCGCGAGGUGGAGCUAAUUUCAUAAAACCGUUUUCAGUUCGGAUUGUAGGCUGCAACUCGCCUACAUGAAGCUGGAAUCGCUAGUAAUCGCGGAUCAGCAUGCCGCGGUGAAUACGUUCCCGGGCCUUGUACACACCGCCCGUCACACCACGAGAGUUUGUAACACCCGAAGUCGGUGGGGUAACCUUUUUGGAGCCAGCCGCCUAAGGUGGGACAGAUGAUUGGGGGAAGUCGUAACAAAGAGCC
rnacentral:rRNA from 1 species